GCCAGGCGUGGUGGUGCACACCUGUGGCCCCAGCUACUUGGGAGGCUGAGGUGGGUGGAUUGCUUGAGCCCAGGAGUUCAAGGCUACAGUGAACUGUGGCCAUGCCACUGUACUCCAGCCUGGGCUACAGAGCGAGACCCUGUCUCAA
ensembl:misc_RNA Metazoa_SRP Metazoan signal recognition particle RNA